ACCACUAAACACAACAAAUAAUCUGCAUCUUUGAUGAUCAAUACCACGAUUAUGUGAACACCAACCAACUUUGAUGAC
rnacentral:snoRNA from 2 species